AUAUUGCACAAUGGAGGGAACUCUGAUGCAGCAACUCCGCGUGAGUGAAGAAGGUUUUCGGCUCGUAAAACUCUGUCAUUGGGGAAGAAUAAAUGACGGUACCCAAUCAGUAAGCCCCGGCUCACUACGUGCCAGCAGCCGCGGUAACACGUAGGGGGCGAGCGUUGUCCGGAAUUACUGGGCGUAAAGGGCGCGUAGGCGGCCUAAUAAGUCAGAUGUAAAACCCCCGGGCUUAACCCUGGGCUUGCAUUUGAAACUGUUGGGCUUGAGGACAGGAGAGGAAAGCGGAAUUCCCAGUGUAGCGGUGAAAUGCGUAGAUAUUGGGAGGAACACCAGUGGCGAAGGCGGCUUUCUGGACUGUAACUGACGCUGAGGAGCGAAAGCCAGGGUAGCGAACG
rnacentral:rRNA from 1 species